rnacentral:rRNA from 1 species
CGGGAGGCAGCAGUUAGGAAUCUUCCGCAAUGGGCGCAAGCCUGACGGAGCGACGCCGCUUGGAGGAUGAAGCCCUUCGGGGUGUAAACUCCUGAACUGGGGGCGAAAUCCCUGAUGAGGGGGCUGACGGUACCCAGGUAAUAGCGCCGGCCAACUCCGUGCCAGCAGCCGCGGUAAUACGGAGGGCGCGAGCGUUACCCGGAUUUACUGGGCGUAAAGGGCGUGUAGGCGGUUUGGCGCGUCUGGCGUUAAAGGCCGCGGCUCAACCGUGGGGGUGCGCUGGAUACGGCCAAGCUAGACGGCUGGAGGGGGUGGUGGAAUUCCCGGAGUAGCGGUGAAAUGCGCAGAUACCGGGAGGAACGCCGAUAGCGAAGGCAGCCACCUGGCCAGUUUGUGACGCUGAGGCGCGAGAGCGUGGGGAGCAAACCGGAUUAGAUACCCGGGUAGUCCACGCCCUAAAC